AGUGAACGCUGGCGGUAGGCCUAACACAUGCAAGUCGAACGGCAGCACAGUAAGAGCUUGCUCUUACGGGUGGCGAGUGGCGGACGGGUGAGGAAUACAUCGGAAUCUACUUUUUCGUGGGGGAUAACGUAGGGAAACUUACGCUAAUACCGCAUACGACCUACGGGUGAAGGCAGGGGAUCUUCGGACCUUGCGCGAUUGAAUGAGCCGAUGUCGGAUUAGCUAGUUGGCGGGGUAAAGGCCCACCAAGGCGACGAUCCGUAGCUGGUCUGAGAGGAUGAUCAGCCACACUGGAACUGAGACACGGUCCAGACUCCUACGGGAGGCAGCAGUGGGGAAUAUUGGACAAUGGGCGCAAGCCUUAUCCAGCCAUACCGCGUGGGUGAAGAAGGCCUUCGGGUUGUAAAGCCCUUUUGUUGGGAAAGAAAAGCAGCAGGUUAAUACCCCGCUGUUCUGACGGUACCCAAAGAAUAAGCACCGGCUAACUUCGUG
rnacentral:rRNA from 1 species